rnacentral:tRNA from 1 species
GUACCGGUAGCUCAGCUAGGCCAGAGCGCGUAAUUACCGUAGUCGACUGUUCACCGAAACGGUUGCGUAGAUUACGGUUACUUCCCUUUAAGGACGAUGUCGCUGGUUCAAAUCCAGCCCGGUACG